AAGGCCUGAUGUGUGUGAGAUUACCCGCUGAAUUUAAGCAUAUAAGUAAGCGGAGGAAAAGAAACUAACUAGGAUUCCCUUAGUAAUGGCGAAUGAACAGGGAUCAGCUCAGUGCCAAAUCGGAAUCACUUGUGGUUCUGAAAUGUGGCUUGAAGGCAGUACCAGUGGCAUCGCGGACGAAAGUCUCUUGGAAAAGAGCGUCAUAGAGGGUGAGAAUCCCGUGAGUCGUUCGCCGUUUGUCACGUACGGUCUGCGUUCUAACGAGUCGCGUUCCUUGGGAUUGGAGCGUAAACGGGUGGUAAAUUUCAUCCAAAGCAAAAUAUAUACUCGAGACCGAUAGCACAAAAGUACCGUGAGGGAAAGGUGAAAAGAACUUUGAGAAGAGGGUUAAAUAGUGCCUGAAAUCGUUGAGAAGGAAGCGGAUGCCGCCGUUGCAUAUGCUGAUUGUAGGAUUGCUGCUCGCUCCUGUCUUCUGCUACUCAUUCACAGACCUGGUCGUGUUGAGCAGUUGUUUGGCAGAUGUUAGUGGUGUUUCCUACUUUCAGUCGUCAGCAUCACUGGCUGAGUGGAAAUAAUCCUUGGAUGCUAAUUGGUUCGCUAUCUGUGAAUUGGUUGCUUCCUUGCGAUACUCACUACUCGGUCAGUGAGGAAGUGCGUUUGCUGGUCAACGAGCUUUCUAACUGUCAUUACCCUGCGCUUUUCGAUUCGUCGAGUGGCCAGGAUGUGGCUUUGAGAUUGUUCGCACUUAGUAAUCGCGAUGCUGGCUUCCAACGGUUGCCUCCGGCCCGUCUUGAAACACGGACCAAGGAGUCUAACGUAUGUGCGAGUGUGUGAGUGGCAAACUUAUACGCGUAAUGAAAGUGAGGCCGUAUGGCCAUGUUGGGGUCACCAACAACCGACCUUGAUCUUCGGUGAAAGGUUUGAGUAUGAGCAUAUCCGUUAGGACCCGAAAGAUGGUGAACUAUGCCU
rnacentral:ncRNA from 1 species